AUUUUACUUCUUAUUAUAUAAUAAUACUUUUUAAUUAAUAUAUCUUUGUUAUAUAAUGAUAAGUUUUGUUGGGGUGACAUAAAAAUUUUCUUAACUUUUUAUUUAUUUUUUCAUAAAUUAAUGUUUAUAUGAUCCAUUAUUAAUGAUUAUAAGAUUAAAU
rnacentral:rRNA from 1 species